AGAACGAACGCUGGCGGCAGGCUUAACACAUGCAAGUCGAACGCGUGUAGCAAUACACGAGUGGCGCACGGGUGAGUAACGCGUGGAUAUCUGCCUUUUGGUUCGGAAUAACCCCGGGAAACUGGGGCUAAUACCGGAUGGUUCCUACGGGAUAAAGAUUUAUCGCCAAAAGAUGAGUCCGCGUACGAUUAGCUAGUUGGUGAGGUAAUGGCUCACCAAGGCGACGAUCGUUAGCUGGUCUGAGAGGACGAUCAGCCACACUGGGACUGAGACACGGCCCAGACUCCUACGGGAGGCAGCAGUGGGGAAUAUUGGACAAUGGGGGCAACCCUGAUCCAGCCAUGCCGCGUGAGUGAUGAAGGCCUUCGGGUUGUAAAGCUCUUUUGGCGGGACGAUGAUGACGGUACCCGCAGAAUAAGCCCCGGCUAACUUCGCGCCAGCAGCCGC
rnacentral:rRNA from 1 species